rnacentral:lncRNA from 1 species
AUGCGUACCAGGGAAAUUAUGUUUAAACCUACCAGGAAAAGUCACAAAGAAUUUUGUACCCAAGUAAAACAAAAAAAAAAAAAAAAAAGUUAUGCUGAGGGUUUGAAAUCUCAUUUCGGCACAAAAUAUAUAGAUUACAAAAAUCAAUCACUGAAAUCAUACAUUAAAAAAAAAAAAAAUUAAAAGCAUGUCUAAUAACACAAUGAUUGUUCCAACAUUGAGUGCUUCACAGUCAAAGUAAACUCUAACAGUACAGUAAAAUUUCCAGUGGAACCCAGUUAUUUAUAUUAUAGUUUCGCUAAGAUAACUGAAUGCUAAGUUCAUGUGAUUAACACUUGUUUGCUCCAGCUGAAUUUUUGGCAUAAUUUUCUGUAGUACAUAGAAAUGUGUGCAAUGUAAUAACAAAAAUGACAAAUAGUGUUUCCUAGCAUUCCAAACAAUAUGUAAUAGAACUUCAUUUUAAAAACAAUUCAUACUUACACAUCCAUGUGCUUCCACAUCUACACAUCACUUCCUUACCCACUUAACAUUGCUAUGAUCUUUGGUCCCUGUGAUUGGUGGCAAGUUUCUUGGACACGCAGAUUAAUUGUGCAGAUUAAUGUAUUGCACUUUGGUUUUGUCAGAGGUAAACUUUUGACUUAGUUGUUAUCUUUCAGGAUUGUUUAAGGGCUGAGAGGAAAGGGUGUAAGGCACAGUUUAGGGUUCCCUUCAUUUGCACUUGGAUGUUGAGGCACUUGGACUUUAGGGAUUUGUUCAGAAUUCAUAAAUACCCACACUCCCACAUUCACACAGAUGCAAACACACGUAAACACACACACUGGUAAUUGCACUUUGGUGGUCAGUAUUCUCCUCUUCUACUUCGAUUAGUUCACAUUUCCUGGGAGGAGUUACUCUACGGUCACAGAUUUGGCCAGGUUUCUUGGGCAGUCCACCUGAUGAGAAGCAAACAAAUGAUGAUAUGUAUUAAAAAUGAAUAUUAAAGAUUCAGCAAAAAGCUAUCUUUUUUAUUGAUUGUUUUGCCUACAGUAGUUUAUUUUAAAUGGUACUGCAAAG